rnacentral:rRNA from 1 species
AGCGAAAGCGAGCCUUAACAGGGCGACUUGAGUCCCGCGCCGCGGACGCGAAGCCGGGUGAGCUAUCCGUGGGCAGGCUGAAGCGGGGGUAAGACCCCGUGGAGGGCCGAACGCACGUCGGUUGAAAACGGCGGCGAUGACCUGCGGAUAGGGGUGAAAGGCCAAUCAAACCCGGAGAUAUCUCGUUCUCCCCGAAAUAGCUUUAGGGCUAGCGUCGCGCGUUCACCGCCGGAGGUAGAGCACCGGAUGGACGAGGGGGCUUCGCCGCCUACCGAAUCCAACCGAACUCCGAAUGCCGGCGGCCCAGAGCGCGGCAGUCAGAGCAUGUGGGCUAAGCUGUGUGCUCGAGAGGGAAACAGCCCGGACCGCCCGCUAAGGUCCCCAAGUUCCAGCCGAGUGGCAAAGGAUGUGCGUCCGCCCAGACAACCAGGAUGUUGGCUUAGAAGCAGCCAUGCAUUCAAAGAGUGCGUAACAGCUCACUGGUCGAGUGGACAUGCGCCGACAAUACACGGGGCUAAGCUGGACACCGAAGCGGCGGGAUUUUAUCUAUAGAAUCGGUAGGGGAGCUUCCCAUGGGCGGAGAAGCCGGAGGGCGACCGACGGUGGAGCGCAUGGGAGUGAGAAUGCUGGCAUGAGUAGCGAGAGACGAGAGAGUAACUCGUCCGCCGUGAACCCGAGGUUUCCUGGGCAAGGCUAAUCCUCCCAGGGUCAGUCGGGGGCUAAGGCGAGGCCGGGAGGCGUAGCCGACGCGCAGCAGGCAGACAUUCCUGCACCGCGCACGCGGCGCUACGACCGACGGGGCGACGGAUGGGGGUGGCUCGGCGGGGUUCUGGACGUCCCCGUGAUGGAGCGCGGCCCGCGGACCAGGGAAAUCCGGUCCGCAUCGAGGGCGAGGCUCCGGACGAAGCACUUAAGCGAAGCGAGUGAGCCCGAGGUCCCUAGAAAAACCCCUAGGCAGGCGCGUGCGCGCCCGUACCGCAAACCGACACAGGUGGGUGGGUAGAACAUACCGAGGCGAUCGGGUCAACCAUGGUCAAGGA